CUACGGGGGGCUCCAGUGGGGAAUAUUGCACAAUGGGGGAAACUCUGAUGCAGCAACGCCGCGUGGAGGAUGACACUUUUCAGAGCGUAAACUCCUUUUAUAUAGGAAGAAGAUGACGGUACUAUAUGAAUAAGCGCCGGCUAACUCCGUGCCAGCAGCCGCGGUAAUACGGAGGGCGCAAGCGUUACUCGGAAUCACUGGGCGUAAAGAGCGUGUAGGCGGAUUAAAAAGUCAGAAGUGAAAUCCUAUAGCUUAACUAUAGAACUGCUUCUGAAACUCUUAAUCUAGAAUAUGGGAGAGGUAGAUGGAAUUUCUGGUGUAGGGGUAAAAUCCGUAGAGAUCAGAAGGAAUACCGAUUGCGAAGGCGAUCUGCUAGAACAUUAUUGACGCUGAGACGCGAAAGCGUGGGGAGCAAACAGGAUUAGAUACCCUCGUAGUC
rnacentral:rRNA from 1 species